AUUGAACGCUGGCGGCAGGCCUAACACAUGCAAGUCGAGCGGGGGAAGGUAGCUUGCUACCGGACCUAGCGGCGGACGGGUGAGUAAUGCUUAGGAAUCUGCCUAUUAGUGGGGGACAACAUCUCGAAAGGGAUGCUAAUACCGCAUACGUCCUACGGGAGAAAGCAGGGGAUCGUCGGACCUUGCGCUUAUAGAUGAGCCUAAGUCGGAUUAGCUCGUUGGGGGGGUAAAGGCCUACCAAGGCGACGAUCUGUAGCGGGUCUGAGAGGGUGAUGCGCCCCAGUGGGACUGAGACACGGCCCUGACCCCGACGGGAGGGAGCAGUGGGGAAUUUUGGUACAUGGGGGGAACCCUGAUCCAGCCAUGCCGCGUGUGUGAAGAAGGCCUUAUGGUUAUAAGGCACUUUAAGCGAGGAGGAGGCUACUUUAGUUAAUACCUAGAGAUAGUGGACGUUACUCGCAGAAUAAGCACCGGCUAACUCUGUGCCAGCAGCCGCGGUAA
rnacentral:rRNA from 1 species